rnacentral:rRNA from 1 species
GUGUCAGCCGCCGCGGUAAUACGAAGGGGGCUAGCGUUGUUCGGAAUCACUGGGCGUAAAGCGCUUGUAGGCGGAUCGUUAAGUCAGGGGUGAAAUCCCGAGGCUCAACCUCGGAACUGCCUUUGAUACUGGCGAUCUUCGAGUCCGGGAGAGGUGAGUGGAACUCCGAGUGUAGAGGUGAAAUUCGUAGAUAUUCGGAAGAACACCAGUGGCGAAGGCGGCUCACUGGCCCGGUACUGACGCUUAAGAGCGAAAGCGUGGGGAGCAAACAGGAUUAGAAACCCGCGUAGUCC